GUGGAUUAGAUACCCUAGUAGUCCACGCCCUAAACGAUGUCAACUGGUUGUUGGGUGGGUAAAACCAUUUAGUACCGUAGCUAACGCGUGAAGUUGACCGCCUGGGGAGUACGGCCGCAAGGUUAAAACUCAAAGGAAUUGACGGGGACCCGCACAAGCGGUGGAUGAUGUGGAUUAAUUCGAUGCAACGCGAAAAACCUUACCUACCCUUGACAUGUUCAGAAGCCUGAAGAGAUUUGGGUGUGCCCGAAAGGGAACUGGAACACAGGUGCUGCAUGGCUGUCGUCAGCU
rnacentral:rRNA from 1 species